rnacentral:tRNA from 1 species
GGGGUUGUGGCUCAGAGGCAGAGCGCUUGCCUAGCAUGAAUGAGGCCCUGAGUUCAAUCCUCAGCACCACCU